CAGCCGCCGCGGGAACACGAAGGGUGCAAGCGUUAAUCGGAAUUACUGGGCGUAAAGGGCGCGUAGGUGGUUAUUUAAGUGAGAUGUGAAAGCCCCGGGCUUAACCUGGGAACUGCAUCUUAUACUGGGUAACUGGAGUGCAGUAGAGGGUAGUGGAAUUUCCGGUGUAGCGGUGAAAUGCGUAGAUAUCGGAAGGAACACCAGUGGCGAAGGCGGCUACCUGGACUGAGACUGACACUGAGACGCGAGAGCGUGGGGAGCAAACAGGAUUAGAGACCCCUGUAGUCCCUGUCUCUUAUAC
rnacentral:rRNA from 1 species